ACGCUGGCGGCACGCCUAACACAUGCAAGUCGAACGAAGUAGCAAUACUUAGUGGCAGACGGGUGAGUAACAUGUAGGUAUCUACCCUAUGGCCUGGAAUAACACGAGGAAACUUGUGCUAAUACCGGAUAAGUCUUCACGGAGAAAGCUUUAUGCACCAUUGGAUGAGCCUGCACUUGAUUAGUUUGUUGGUAGGGUAAUGGCCUACCAAGACUUUGAUCAAUAGCUGAUUUGAGAGGAUGAUCAGCCACAUUGGGACUGAGACACGGCCCAAACUCCUACGGGAGGCAGCAGUGGGGAAUCUUGCACAAUGGAGGAAACUCUGAUGCAGCGAUGCCGCGUGAGUGAAGAAGGCCUUUGGGUUGUAAAGCUCUUUCGUCGGGGAAGAAAAUGACUGUACCCGAAUAAGAAGGUCCGGCUAACUUCGUGCCAGCAGCCGCGGUAAUACGAAGGGACCUAGCGUAGUUCGGAAUUACUGGGCUUAAAGAGUUCGUAGGUGGUUGAAAAAGUUGGUGGUGAAAUCCCAGAGCUUAACUCUGGAACUGCCAUCAAAACUUUUCAGCUAGAGUUUGAUAGAGGAAAGCAGAAUUUCUAGUGUAGAGGUGAAAUUCGUAGAUAUUAGAAAGAAUACCAAUUGCGAAGGCAGCUUUCUGGAUCAUUACUGACACUGAGGAACGAAAGCAUGGGUAGCGAAGAGGAUUAGAUACCCUCGUAGUCCAUGCCGUAAACGAUGUGUGUUAGACGUUGGAAAUUUAUUUUCAGUGUCGCAGCGAAAGC
rnacentral:rRNA from 1 species